GAGUUUGAUCGUGGCUCAGAUUGAACGCUGGCGGCAUGCCUUACACAUGCAAGUCGAACGGCAGCACGGGAGCUUGCUCCUGGUGGCGAGUGGCGAACGGGUGAGUAAUGCAUCGGAACGUAUCCUGGAGUGGGGGAUAACGUAGCGAAAGUUACGCUAAUACCGCAUAUUCUGUGAGCAGGAAAGCGGGGGACCUUCGGGCCUCGCGCUCUUGGAGCGGCCGAUGUCGGAUUAGCUAGUUGGUGAGGUAAAGGCUCACCAAGGCGACGAUCCGUAGCAGGUCUGAGAGGAUGAUCUGCCACACUGGAACUGAGACACGGUCCAGACUCCUACGGGAGGCAGCAGUGGGAAUUUUGGACAAUGGGGGCAACCCUGAUCCAGCCAUGCCGCGUGAGUGAAGAAGGCCUCGGUGUAAG
rnacentral:rRNA from 1 species